rfam:Picea glauca, whole genome shotgun sequence.
GUAAUGGUGUCUUUAGACACCAUCUUGUCUUAAAAAAAAAUUGUU